GUUUAUAUAAUUUAAAUAAGAUAUUAGACUGUGACUCUAACUUUGAGAGUUAAAACCUCU
rnacentral:tRNA from 1 species